GUGGAAGCGUGGUGACACGUGGAGCUGACGGAUACUAAUGGAUCGAUGACUUAUCUAU
rnacentral:rRNA from 1 species